rnacentral:rRNA from 1 species
UACAGAGGUCUCAAGCGUUGUUCGGAUUCAUUGGGCGUAAAGGGUGCGUAGGCGGCGCGGUAAGUCGGGUGUGAAAUCUCGGAGCUUAACUCCGAAACUGCAUUCGAUACUGCCGUGCUUGAGGACUGGAGAGGAGACUGGAAUUUACGGUGAGCGGUGAAAUGCGUAGAUAUCGUAAGGAAGACCAGUGGCGAAGGCGGCUCUCUGGGACGGUACUGGACGCUGAGACGCGAAAGACCGUGGGGAGCGAACAGG